rnacentral:rRNA from 1 species
GACGAACGCUGGCGGCGUGCUUAACACAUGCAAGUCGAACGAUGAAGUUCCUUCGGGAAUGGAUUAGUGGCGAACGGGUGAGGAACACGUGAACAAUCUGCCCCUUACACGGGAAUAACUUCGGGAAACCGACGCUAAUACCCGAUAUUGAAUUCGGUAGUCAUCUACUGAAUUUGAAAUGGUCCGCCGGUAAGGGAUGAGUUCGCGGCCUAUCAGCUUGUUGGUGAGGUAACGGCUCACCAAGGCGACGACGGGUAGCCGGCCUGAGAGGGCGACCGGCCACACUGGGACUGAGACACGGCCCAGACUCCUACGGGAGGCAGCAGUGGGGAAUAUUGCGCAAUGGACGAAAGUCUGACGCAGCAACGCCGCGUGAGGGAUGACGGCCUUCGGGUUGUAAACCUCUUUCAAUCGGGACGAAGCGAAAGUGACGGUACCGAUACAAGAAGCACCGGCUAACUAUGUGCCAGCAGCCGCCGUAA